AAUGGCUCAUUAAAUCAGUUAUCGUUUAUUUGAUAGUACCUUUACCUGGAUAACCGUGGUAAUUCUAGAGCUAAUACAUGCUAAAAAUCCCGACUUCGGAAGGGAUGUAUUUAUUAGAUAAAAAACCAAUGCCCUUCGGGGCUCCUUGGUGAUUCAUAAUAACUUAACGAAUCGCAUGGCCUUGCGCCGGCGAUGGUUCAUUCAAAUUUCUGCCCUAUCAACUUUCGAUGGUAGGAUAGUGGCCUACCAUGGUCUCAACGGGUAACGGGGAAUUAGGGUUCUAUUCCGGAGAGGGAGCCUGAGAAACGGCUACCACAUCCAAGGAAGGCAGCAGGCGCGCAAAUUACCCAAUCCCAAUUCGGGGAGGUAGUGACAAUAAAUACUGAUACAGGGCUCUUUUGGGUCUUGUAAUUGGAAUGAGUACAAUCUAAAUCCCUUAACG
rnacentral:rRNA from 1 species